UACGGGGGGGGCAAGCGUUGUUCGGAAUUACUGGGCGUAAAGGGCGCGUAGGCGGCUUCAUAAGUCAGGGGUGAAAUCCGGCAGCUUAACUGUCGCAGUGCCUUUGAUACUGUGGAGCUCGAGGGAGGUAGGGGUCUGUGGAACUUCCGGUGGAGCGGUGAAAUGCGUUGAUAUCGGAAGGAACGCCGGUGGCGAAAGCGACGGACUGGAUCUCUUCUGACGCUGAGGCGCGAAAGCCAGGGGAGCAAACGGG
rnacentral:rRNA from 1 species